rnacentral:rRNA from 1 species
CCUACGGGAGGCAGCAGUGGGGGAUAUUGCACAAUGGGGGGAACCCUGAUGCCGCGACGCCGCGUGGGUGAAGAAGCGCCUCGGCGCGUAAAGCCCUGUCGGCAGGGAAGAAGAUGACGGUAACUUAAGAAUAAGCCCCCGCUAACUACGUGCCAGCCGCCGCGGUAAGACGGAGGGGGCAAGCGUUAUCCGGAUUUACUGGGUGUAAAGGGGGCGCAGACGGCGAUGCAAGCCAGGAGUGAAAGGCCGGGGCCCAACCCCGGGACUGCCCUUGGAACUGCGUGGCUGGAGUGCAGGAGGGGCAGGCGGAAUUCCUGGUGUAGCGGUGAAAUGCGUAGAUAUCAGGAGGAACACCGGUGGCGAAGGCGGCCUGCUGGACCGCAACUGACGUUGAGGCCCGAAAGCGUGGGGAUCGAACAGGAUUAGAUACCCUUGUAGUC